rnacentral:rRNA from 1 species
GAAAGGGCAUAUCGCCCUUUNUUUUCUGAACCGUAGGGAGGUUCAAGAACAAAGAGCUGGGCAAGACCGGUGCCAGCCGCCGCGGUAAUACCGGCAGCUCGAGUGAUGACCGAUUUUAUUGGGCCUAAAGCGUCCGUAGCUGGCCGCGCAAGUCUGUCAGGAAAUCCACCCGCUUAACGGGUGGGCGUCCGGCGGAAACUGUGCGGCUUGGGACAGGAAGGCUCGAGGGGUACGUUCGGGGUAGGAGUGAAAUCCUGUAAUCCUGAACGGACCACCGAUGGCGAAAGCACCUCGAGAGGACUGAUCCGACAGUGAGGGACGAAAGCUGGGGUCUCGAACCGGAUUAGAUACCCGGGUAGUCCCAGCCGUAAACGAUGUUCGCUAGGUGUGUCACUCACUACGAGUGAGUGAUGUGCCGCAGGGAAGCCGCUAAGCGAACCGCCUGGGAAGUACGUCCGCAAGGAUGAAACUUAAAGGAAUUGGCGGGGGAGCACUACAACCGGAGGAGCCUGCGGUUUAAUUGGACUCAACGCCGGUAACCUUACCAGCCCCGACUACGGUGAUGACGGCCAGGUUGAUGACCUCGUCACGACGCCGUAGAGAGGUGGUGCAUGGCCGCCGUCAGCUCGUACCGUGAGGCGUCCUGUUAAGUCAGGCAACGAGCGAGACCCGCACUCUUAAUUGCCAGCAUGUCCCUUGUGGAUGAUGGGUACAUUAGGAGGACUGCCGCCGCCAAGGCGGAGGAAGGAACGGGCAACGGUAGGUCAGUAUGCCCCGAAUGGGCUGGGCAACACGCGGGCUACAAUGGCCGAGACAAUGGGUUCCCACCCCGAGAGGGAGCGGUAAUCUCAGAAACUCGGUCGUAGUUCGGAUUGCGGACUGCAACUCGUCCGCAUGAAGCUGGAUUUCGGUAGUAAUCGCAU